GUGCUCGCUUGGGCAGCACAUACACUAAAAUUGGAACGACGCAGAGAAGAUUAGCAUGGCCCCUGCGCAAGGAAGGGUGACCAGUUUGGCUAAAUGCUAUCUGCCUGC
ensembl:snRNA U6 U6 spliceosomal RNA